GUUUUACUCCCUCCGUCCGAAAAUACUUGUCAUCAAAAUGGACAAAAAGGGAUGCAUCUAGAAGUUCUAGAUGCAUCCCUUUUUGUCCAAGGGAUGCAUCUAGAAGUUCUAGAUGCAUCCCUUUUUGUCCAUUUUGAUGACAAGUAUUUUCGGACGGAGGGAGUAUUUC
rfam:Triticum aestivum genome assembly, contig: Triticum_aestivum_CS42_TGACv1_scaffold_328877_4BS